CUGGAGAGCAGCCCUUUCGCCCGCUCUCCGGCUGCUCGCCUCGUUCGCUCGCUGGCUCUGCGCGGCUGGAGGAAGCAGCAGCAGCAGCCGCCGCAGCCGCCGCAGCAGCAGCCCGAGAGCGCUGGCGUCCCAGGCGGCCCUGGAGCAGCCGUUUCCCCCACCCCGCAGCUGCUCCGCGUGGAUGCCCAACCAGGCGCGUCUCUUCGCCCGCCUUUGCCCUCCUUCCCGCGGAGAGCCAGACAGACGCCGAGUCUCCCCGGCUGGAACUCAUCCUUGAGUUGCAGUGACUCUUGGUGCCCGAUUCUUGGGAUUUGGCAGAAUUUGCUGAAGCUUGCAUGCUGCUUCAUGCAGACACACAUUCCCCUCCCAUGGCAUCACAUGAUCAAAGUUCAGAUGCUUGGCAAAUGACUCAUAUUUAUGAUGAUUACAGUACCCCAGGAUAAUGUGAUCCCCUUUUGCGAUAAGCAAAGUCAAUGGGGAAGCCAGAUUCACUCAAUGAUCAUGUUACUAACUUAACAACUGCAGUGAUUCGCUUAAAAAUGGCAGCAAGAAAGGUCAUAGAAUGAGGCGAAACUCACUUAACAACUGUCUUGCUCAGCAGCAGAAAUGUGGAGCUCAAUUGUGGUUAUAAGGUGAGAUCUACCUGUAUAUCAUUCUGAGACUUAUUAUGCUUUUAAAAAUUUAUUUAGCAUUUUGGAUGAAGCCAGGCAAUUGUGUCUUACAAACCAUUGGUUAUAAUUUAGCAUGGUAUAAGAGUCCAAUCCAUGGCUUACAAUCAUAUUUCUUCUUUCUCUUGUGUCAUUUCCAUCAUCGGACGUUGGCGAUCAUGUUGGCAAUCCUAUUAUAAUCACUGGCAUGAUUUAUUCACUACAUGGCAUUUAUCUAAAACCAGGGGUCUUCAAACUUGACAGCUUUAAGACUUGUGGACUUCAACUCCCAGAAUUCUUCCUCCAGUCAUGUUAGCUUAGGAAUUCUGGGAGUUGAAGUCCACAAGUCUUAAACUUGCCAAGUUUGAAGACCCUUGGUCUAAACUAUGGCUUACAACCUUGGUGUGUGAAUGCCAUCUUUUUUUCCCCAAAGGCUUACAUGUCUGCAUAAUUUAAACCUGUUGCUACUUGAAAUGAAAAGAAAGCAAAGGGAUUUCAAAGAAGUGCCUAUACAGGGUUAAGUAAUACUGUGUUUGUUCCUUAAUUUGGAUCUUCUCCAACCAUUAAUACCUAGUGAACAUACUCUGAUUGAUGAUAUUUUCACCUGCUGG
rnacentral:lncRNA from 1 species